AAAAUCCGUUGGCUUUANUGACCGUGAGGGUUCAAGUCCCUCUANCCCCA
rnacentral:tRNA from 1 species